AGGUCGGAGCUGGAAACACUGACGACGGAAGUACGGAUCCUAAUGACCAUUACUGCUGGAUGCGACCUGAAGACAUGGACUACAAAAGGCCUGUGACUACCUGUAACGGUGGAUGUUCGGAUCUCGCUGCAGAGAUGGCAGCUGCUCUCGCUUCAGCAUCCAUUGUGUUCAAAGACAACAGAGAGUAUUCUAAGAAGCUCGUACAUGGUGCUAAGACUGUGUAUCAGUUUGGAAGAACUCGGAGAGGCAGAUACAGUGCAGGCACUGCGGAGUCAGCCAAGUUUUACAAUUCAAGCAUGUAUUGGGAUGAGUUUAUUUGGGGUGGUGCUUGGUUAUACUAUGCCACAGGAAACGUAACUUAUCUCGAUCUAAUCACAAAGCCAACUAUGGCUAAGCAUGCGGGUGCCUUCUGGGGUGGGCCUUACUAUGGUGUAUUUAGCUGGGACAACAAGCUUGCUGGUGCUCAGGUCAGCCCACAAAUCAACUUAUUGUGUUUAUGUUUCCGUUAUGUUGUUGAUCUCCUCUUUAACGCUUGUAAACCCCCUGUGCUUUUCAGUUGCUGCUGAGCCGGUUAAGGUUGUUUUUAAGUACAAAAACAAACCUCAUUCACACUCUUAGAUCUGAUCUUCUUCUUCUCUUCUAAACCAUGUACGGCCGAGAUCCCUGGGGAGGUCCACUGGAGAUCAACGCCACGGAUUCCGCCACCGACGACGAUCGUAGCCGGAAUCUGAAUGAUGUCGACCGCGCGGCUCUGUCUCGGCCACUCGACGAAACGCAGCAGAGCUGGCUUCUUGGUCCGACUGAGCAGAAGAAGAAGAAGUACGUCGAUCUCGGAUGUAUAAUCGUCAGCCGCAAGAUCUUCGUCUGGACCGUCGGUAUAGUUGUCGCCGCCGCUUUACUCGCCGGAUUCAUCACAUUGAUCGUCAAAACUGUGCCGCGUCACCACAACAAGAAUCCAGCGCCGGAUAAUUACACAAUCGCUCUUCACAAAGCCCUCAAGUUUUUCAAUGCUCAGAAGUGUAAGUCCUAGUAGUAGCUCUGAUAUGUAAAAAUCUUAAGGAAAUGAUUAAUUAUUUUAAAAAUCAGAUUUGAGCUUAACUCAGCCUACCUGUGUUACUGCAGAUUGACUACAUACUCGGUAAAAACCCUCGCAAAAUGAGCUAUCUCGUGGGGAGAUUUGGUUGGAGGCUAUUACGAUGCUGGAGAUACUAUCAAGUUCAAUUUCCCCAUGGCUUAUGCUAUGACCAUGUUGAGCUGGAGUGUGAUUGAAUACAGUGCUAAAUACGAAGCUGCAGGAGAGCUUGCCCAUGUUAGGGAGCUCAUUAAAUGGGGAACUGAUUACUUUCUCAAGACCUUUAACAGUACUGCUGAUUCCAUCGAUGAUCUUGUUUCACAGGUAAAACUUGCUUUCCUUUCCUUUCCUAGGCUAGGGAUAAUUAAUAUCUUUAGCUUUCUUUUGAGUUGUUUUGUUUUGUUUUGUUUCCUCAUUUAAACUCUUAAGGUCGGAGCUGGAAACACUGACGACGGAAGUACGGAUCCUAAUGACCAUUACUGCUGGAUGCGACCUGAAGACAUGGACUACAAAAGGCCUGUGACUACCUGUAACGGUGGAUGUUCGGAUCUCGCUGCAGAGAUGGCAGCUGCUCUCGCUUCAGCAUCCAUUGUGUUCAAAGACAACAGAGAGUAUUCUAAGAAGCUCGUACAUGGUGCUAAGACUGUGUAUCAGUUUGGAAGAACUCGGAGAGGCAG
rnacentral:lncRNA from 1 species